GAGAAGCCUGUGGGCAGGGGCCGUGCAGCCUGUCAGCCUCAGGCUCCUCACACCUGCUGCGGACGCAGAAGUCCAUCCCUAGGAGCACAGAAAGGGCCCCUCCGUUCUCCCCAUGGAAGUGGCACGUUCAGGACGAGGGUCACUGGUCCAGGUGGGCUGAUGUCUACCUUCCUGCCUGACACUCAUAAAGGCCACGCACACAACCUCCAGCUCACUAACGAGGAGUGCCUUUCGACCCAACAAAAGAAGCUCUGAGGAAAAUACGGCCUGCUGUUUUUUUCCCUUAAAGAACUGUGAAGAUCAAACUGUUUUGUUUGAACUUCUGAGGGCACCCGUAUAUCGCAUCAAUACAUAAGUAGAUGUCAAAGACCAAGUGAGUUCUUGGUGGUGUGUGUGUGUGAAGUCACCCGUCUUGCUUACCUCCCAUAAUUCUAGAAAAGCCUAUGGCUUAGCCAUCUGGGCCAGUGAGUUGUAUGUCCACACCCUUAGCAUGAAGAUACAGCCUCAUUUCCCAUGACAGGAAUCUCUUAGCCUUGCCCAACUGAACACUCUCCCACAGCAUUUAAAGA